UUUAUAUGUGCUCACUUUCAUAAUACAUACUAAAAUUGGAACAAUACAGAGAAGACUGGCAUAGUCCCUGCAUGAAGAUGACAUGCAAAUUUGUGAUGCAUUCCAUAUUUUU